CAGUCGAACGGUAACGCGGAGAGAAGCUUGCUUCUCCCCGGCGACGAGUGGCGACCGGUUGAGUAAUACAUCGGAACGUGUCCGCUCGUGGGGGACAACCAGCCGAAAGGUUGGCUAAUACCGCAUGAGUUCUACGGAAGAAAGAGGGGGACCCGCAAGGGCCUCUCGCGAGCGGAGCGGCCGAUGACUGAUUAGCCUGUUGGUGAGGUAACGGCUCACCAAAGCAACGAUCAGUAGCUGGUCUGAGAGGACGACCAGCCACACUGGGACUGAGACACGGCCCAGACUCCUACGGGAGGCAGCAGUGGGGAAUUUUGGACAAUGGGCGCAAGCCUGAUCCAGCUAUUCCGCGUGUGGGAUGAAGGCCCUCGGGUUGUAAACCACUUUUGUAGAGAACGAAAAGACACCUUCGAAUAAAGGGUGUUGCUGACGGUACUCUAAGAAUGAGCUCCGGCUAACUACGUGCCAGCAGCCGCGGUAAUACGUAGGGAGCAGGCGUUGUCCGGAUUUACUGGGUGUAAAGGGUGCGUAGGCGGCUUUGCAAGUCAGAUGUGAAAUCUAUGGGCUCAACCCAUAAACUGCAUUUGAAACUGUAGAGCUUGAGUGAAGUAGAGGCAGGCGGAAUUCCCCGUGUAGCGGUGAAAUGCGUAGAGAUGGGGAGGAACACCAGUGGCGAAGGCGGCCUGCUGGGCUUUAACUGACGCUGAGGCACGAAAGCGUGGGUAGCAAACAGGAUUAGAUACCCUGGUAGUCCACGCUGUAAACGAUGAUUACUAGGUGUGGGGGGUCUGACCCCUUCCGUGC
rnacentral:rRNA from 1 species